AAGAAGGUCAUACAAAUACUACAAAAGUUAAAUUGUUCAAUUCAAGUCAUAGAAAUUAAAUAAUUAGAAAUUCAAAUUUCUAUGUCCAAUCCUCUAAUGAUAUCCUCUCCUCCAUCAUCUUCAUCAUCAUCUUCAUCUUCAUCUUCAUCUUCAUCUUCAUCUUCAUCCACAUUGACAUCAAAAGUCAAAUUUUCAAGAUCAAAUGCAUCUAGAGUUGGAACUGUUAUUGCCGGAUUUAAGUGAACA
rnacentral:lncRNA from 1 species